UGUGCACCAGGUAGAUGGGACAGUAAUCGGGAAACGAAGAUUCAACGAGUGAGCGAACUUUCACCGAAGAUAGGGCGGAAAAAUAUGGCGCGUGAAUAUUUUUGUCAGCACCUCCCGUACGUAAAAGCCUUGCGUUUUAUUCAAAGCAGAAGUGUUUAAUGUUCCUCCAAGACCUUUCAAAGCGAAUAGUGAGCAAAAUACUACAGCUUUGUCAUUAUUAACACAAUGGAAAGCACGAACCCACUUCGAGGGAUUGAUUUUGAGGCACGGACGUGGAAAAUGUAUGAAAAAAAGACGGGCAACUUCGUUUUGAUAGAUGAAUUAGCAGUGAAAAUGGAGUCAAAAAGCUGAUUGGACUUGUAGAUUUGGGAAAAGAACAUGACCUCAUGAGAUCUUUGACCACAGGCGAAGAGAAGAUGCAUUUAAGAAAUGUUCAGAAGAACUCCAACUAUCAUCAUAUGAUGAAAAUGUCUGCAACACUACCAAUCAAGAUUUGUGUCCAGUUGUGGGUUUGCUGUCUCAAUGUGUGAAUGAAAGGAUCAAAAGAGGAUGUCUGCUGAUUACUCAAGAAAUCACUAUGGCUGUUCUUUGCUCUUCUGCAGGAGAAUUGAUUCUAGUUGAUAGUCAUUCACAUGCUCCUUUUGGAGCUGCAAUCUGUGGGCCAACACAAGAUGCAAGUGCUUUAGUGCAGUGGUAUCAAAACUCAUUCCAAAAAUAUCAUGGCAAUCCAGUUGGAAUUUCAUGUACGGUCACGUGGUUGGAAUUUAAUUUUCCAUAAAUAUACUUCAUAUAUGAACAUCACUUAGUG